ACUAUGGAGAGUUUGAUCCUGGCUCAGGAUGAACGCUAAAGCGGGGAGUGCCUAUUACAUGCAAGUCGAGCGGGUAACUUUCUUCGGGAAGCUAGAGCGGCGCACGGGUGAGUAACGCGUACAUGACCUGCCUUUAAGACCGGGAUAGCCCUGGGAAACUGGGAUUAAUACCGGAUGAUAAUAGAUAUAAAGAUUUCUUAUUAAAGCUACGGCGCUUAGAGAUGGAUGUGCGUCUGAUUAGCUAGUUGGUAGGGUAACGGCCUACCAAGGCUGGGCGAUCAGUAGGGGGGCGUGAGAGCGUGGCCCCACACACGGGUACUGAGACACGGACCCGACUUCCUACGGCGGCAGUAAGAAUAUUGGUCAAUGGACGAAAGUUCGAACCAGCCAUCCCGCGUGCAGGAUGAAGGUCCUAUAUUGUAAACUGCUUUAGCAGAGAAGAAAGCAUCCUUUUAAGGGUGUCCGACGGUAUUCUGGUGAAUAAGCACCGGCUAACCCGUGCCAGCAGCCGCGGUAUCAGGGAGCGGUGCAAGCGUUAUCCGGAAUCACUGGGUUUAAAGGGUGCGUAGGCGGAAUAUUAAGUCAUCGGUGAAAGCCCGUCGCUUAACGAUAGAACUGCCAUUGAUACCUGAUAUUCUUUGAAUUGGGUUGAGUGUUAUGGAAUGACAUGUAGCGGUGAAAUGCAUAGAUAUGUCAUGGAACACCAAUUGGUGAAGGGUAGCCAGCUGGGCCUUGAUUGACGCUGAUGGCACGAAAGCGUGGGUGGUAGCGAACAGAUUAGAUACCCCGGGUAGUCCACGCCCUAAACGAUGCUAACUCGAUGUUUGGACUUAAGGUUUGAGCAUCCGGCGGAAACCGAUAAGUUAGCCACCUGGGGAGUACGACCGCAAGGUUGAAACUCAAAGGAAUUGAAGCCAGGUCCGUACAAGCGGUGGAGCAUGUGGUUUAAUUCGAUGAUACGCGACGAACCUUACCUAGGCUAGAAUGUGAGUGACGGUCUGUGAAAGCAGGCUUUCCUUCGGGACACGAAACAAGGUGUUGCAUGGUUGUCGUCAGCUCGUGCCGAUAGGUUGGGUUAAGUCCUCAACGAGCGCAACCCCUAUCGUUAGUUACCAUCAUUGGGUUGGGGACUCUAGCGAGACUGCCGGCGUAAGCCAUAAGGAAGGUGGGGAUGACGUCAAAUCAUCAUGGCCUUUGGUGCUCUAGGGCGACACGGUCUACAAAUGGCCGGCACAGACAGAACAUACAGUGAUGUGGAGCCAAUCCCAGAAAGGCCGGUCCCAGUUCGGAUUGGAGUCUGCAACCCGACUCCAUGAAGGUGAAUCGCUAGUAAUCGCGCAUCAGCCAUGGCGCGGUGAAUACGUUCCCGGACCUUGUACACACACCCGCCCGUCGUGGGUUACUGAAGCUGGGGUACCUAAAGAUGGUGACUUUACGGGGAGCUAUCUAAGGUAAAACCAGUAACUGGGCUAAGUCGUAACAAGGUAGGCCUACCGGAAGGUGUGGCUGGAAUACCUCCUUU
rnacentral:rRNA from 1 species